UUAGGCGCAACUGGCCGGGAGCAGCGACAGUCGAGCGAACCGACGGGAGCUUGCUCCCUUAGGUCAGCGGCGGACCUCUACUAACACGUGGGUAACCUGCCUGUAAGACUGGGAUAACCCCGGGAAACCGGGGCUAAUACCGGAUGCUUGAUUGAACCGCAUGGUUCAAUCAUAAAAGGUGGCUUUUAGCUACCACUUGCAGAUGGACCCGCGGCGCAUUAGCUAGUUGGUGAGGUAACGGCUCACCAAGGCGACGAUGCGUAGCCGACCUGAGAGGGUGAUCGGCCACACUGGGACUGAGACACGGCCCAGACUCCUACGGGAGGCAGCAGUAGGGAAUCUUCCGCAAUGGACGAAAGUCUGACGGAGCAACGCCGCGUGAGUGAUGAAGGUUUUCGGAUCGUAAAACUCUGUUGUUAGGGAAGAACAAGUACCGUUCGAAUAGGGCGGUACCUUGACGGUACCUAACCAGAAAGCCACGGCUAACUACGUGCCAGCAGCCGCGGUAAUACGUAGGUGGCAAGCGUUGUCCGGAAUUAUUGGGCGUAAAGCGCGCGCAGGCGGUUUCUUAAGUCUGAUGUGAAAGCCCCCGGCUCAACCGGGGAGGGUCAUUGGAAACUGGGGAACUUGAGUGCAGAAGAGGAGAGUGGAAUUCCACGUGUAGCGGUGAAAUGCGUAGAGAUGUGGAGGAACACCAGUGGCGAAGGCGACUCUCUGGUCUGUAACUGACGCUGAGGCGCGAAAGCGUGGGGAGCGAACAGGAUUAGAUACCCUGGUAGUCCACGCCGUAAACGAUGAGUGCUAAGUGUUAGAGGGUUUCCGCCCUUUAGUGCUGCAGCAAACGCAUUAAGCACUCCGCCUGGGGAGUACGGUCGCAAGACUGAAACUCAAAGGAAUUGACGGGGGCCCGCACAAGCGGUGGAGCAUGUGGUUUAAUUCGAAGCAACGCGAAGAACCUUACCAGGUCUUGACAUCCUCUGACAACCCUAGAAAAUAGGGCUUCCCCUUCCGGGGGCAAAAUGACAGGUGGGUGCAUGGUUGUCGUCAGCUCCUGUCCUGAAAAUGUUGGGUUAAGUCCCGCAACCAAGCGCAACCCUUUGAUCUUAGUUGCCAGCAUUCAGUUGGGCACUCUUAAGGUGACUGCCCGGUGACAAACCGGAAGGAAGGUGGGGGAUGACGUCAAAUCAUCAAUGCCCCUUAAAGACCUGGGGCUACCACCUUGCUUACAAUGGGGCGAAAACAAAGGGGGACGAAGCCGCGAGGCUAAGCCAAUCCCACAAAUCUGUUCUCAGUUCGGAUCGCAGUCUGCAACUCGACUGCGUGAAGCUGGAAUCGCUAGUAAUCGCGGAUCAGCAUGCCGCGGCGAAUACGGUCCCGGGCCGNGCACACACCGCCCGUCAAAAGGCGAGAGCCGCAACACCCGAAGNCGGAGAGGCAACCCUAGGAGCCAUCUAUAGUAUAGCGUUCCCGACGUUCCAA
rnacentral:rRNA from 1 species